rnacentral:snRNA from 1 species
GGAUGUGAGGGUGGUCUGACUACAAUAUCUGUUACCCCUCUGAUUGCCAGGGUUGAUUCAGCUGACUAGACAGGCAUCCCCUUCCUCCUGCAAUGCACCAUGUGCUUCCUUCCUGAAGCUGCAUGUUUGGUUGAAGAGGAGGACCACCCCCAAGAGAGGAGGACUGUUCCUUGGUCAAGGCUGUACCAGUAGCUGCACUGCCCUGCUAGAACCUCCCAACAGACUGUCAAAAUGGUUGUUCAUUUUACAACCUAUGAACAUGUGAAGGUUAUUAUCACUCCACAUCCCCCUCAAAUCCUUGAUUUUGCCA